rnacentral:rRNA from 1 species
AACGAACGCUGGCGGCGUGCUUAAUACAUGCAAGUCGAACGUGAUUCCCGACUUCGGUUGGGAUGAAAGUGGCGAACGGGUGAGUAACACGUAAGUAAUCUGCCUUCAAGUUUGGGAUAACCCUGCCAACGCGGGGCUAAUACCGGAUGUGGUCCUGCAGACCCAUGUUUGCGGGAUUAAAGGUCGCGAGACCGCUUGGAGAUGAGCUUGCGGCCCAUUAGCUAGUUGGUGAGGUAACGGCCCACCAAGGCAGGGAUGGGUAGCCGGCCUGAGAGGGUGUACGGCCACAUUGGGACUGAGAUACGGCCCAGACUCCUACGGGAGGCAGCAGUAGGGAAUUUUGCGCAAUGGACGGAAGUCUGACGCAGCAACGCCGCGUGAAGGAUGAAGGCCUUCGGGUUGUAAACUUCUUUGAUCAGGGAAGAAAGAAAUGACGUACCUGAAGAACAAGACCACGCUAACUACGUGCAGCAGCCGCGGUAAUCAAUACUCGUA